UGCCAGCAGCCGCGGUAAUACGGGGGGAGCAAGCGUUGUUCGGAUUCAUUGGGCGUAAAGGGCGCGUAGGCGGUUUGGCAAGUCUGACGUGAAAUGUACCGGUUCAACCGGGGCGCUGUGUCAGAAACUGCCUUACUUGAGGUCGAGGGAGGAGAGUGGAAUUCCUGGUGUAGCGGUGAAAUGCGUAGAUAUCAGGAGGAACACCCGUGGCGAAGGCAGCACUCUGGGCCGGUACUGACGCUGAGGAGCGAAAGCGUGGGGAGCGAACAGGAUUAGAUA
rnacentral:rRNA from 1 species